rnacentral:lncRNA from 1 species
UCUAUAUGAAGCUUCUUAGCUUACCAUGGGGUGCUAUACUAAAUCAUAUCUAGUAGUGGUGAGGGGGAGGUGGUGAUGCAUAGACAUAGUGUGGUGGAGGUGGAGAGGGAUACUUAGGUGGAGGUGGAGGUGACUUGUAAUAGUAAGCUGGGGGAGGAGGAGAAGGGUACUUGUAUGGUGGAGGUGGAGGAGAUGGGUACUUGUAAGGAGGAGGAGGAGAUUUGUACUUGUAAACAGGUGGUGGAGGAGAUGGGUACUUGUAUGGUGGAGGUGGAGGAGAUGGGUACUUGUAAGGAGGAGGAGGAGAUUUGUACUUGUAAACAGGUGGUGGAGGAGAUGGAUACUUGUAUGGAGGGGGUGGAGGAGAAGGGUAUUUGUAGGGAGGUGGUGGUGACUUGUACUUGUAGACUGGAGGUGGUGGUGAUUUGUACUUGUAGACUGGAGGUGGUGGUGACUUGUACUUGUACACUGGUGGUGGGGGUGAUGGAUAUUUGUAAGGCUUCUUAGGAGGUGGUGGUGGUGACUUGUACUUGUAAACCGGAGGUGGUGGUGACUUGUACUUAUAAACUGGUGGUGGUGGAGAAGGGUAUUUGUAAGGCUUCUUAGGAGGUGGUGGAGGAGAUGAGUACUUAUAGGGUGGAGGUGGUGACUUAUUCUUGUAAAUUGGUGGUGGAGAAGAAGGGUACUUGUAUGGUGGUGAAGGAUGGUGAUAAGGAUGCUUGGGAGGUGAGUACUCUUGUGGUGGUGGAGAGUGGUAGUAGUAAGGGUUCUUAGGGGGUGGUGGAGGAGAUGAAUAGGGGUAGUUAUCAGCUGAGGUUUGAGAUGGCAAGCUUAGAGACACUAUUGCCAACACAAGAGUAAGAGUAAUAGAGGCCAUUAGAGACCCCAUUUCUCCCAACUUCUAAAAGGGUU